CGUGGCGCCACCUUCACCUCUCGAGGUCAACGACACCUUCGUGGGAGAAAACGCGAUCAUCGCCGGCUGGGACGGCCUUCUCAAUCUGGAGAGGCUUCAGAGACUCUUCAGUGGACCGAUGUGACGGUUGUUCCCAACAAAGUAUGCGAGCAGUUCUACGAAUCAGGCGCCGUUAUUGAAAGCACACUGUGUGCCGGAAACGAGUACACUGGCUUAUGCUGGGGGGACCUCGGCAGACCGCUUGUUGUCAAGACCGGCGGAGGCUACAAGCAGAUCGGGGUGUCCAGCUUCCUUCCGGAGGGGGAAGGCUGUGACGUGGCCGGGGCAGCCGCUGCCUACGUCAGAGUCACCUCCGUCCUCGACUGGAUCACCAGCAACGCCAUUAGCGUUUAGCCACAAACUGGUGUUGCCUACGACGCACAUCCGUUGUGGCGCCUUCUCCCAGUGUUUAACUAAAUUCAACAGCAUUUGCUUCUAAUGUACUUCUGUUGCUGUUUCAUCGCAAAUCUGGUGGUGUAGGUACUGCAUUUAACUGUA